UGGCGGCGUGGAUUAGGCAUGCAAGUCGAGGGAAUCCCAGCAAUGGGGGAACCGGCGUAAGGGGCAGUAAGGCAUGGGUACCUACCUUUGGGUUCGGGAUAGCCAUCAGAGAUGGUGGGUAAUACCGGAUGACGUCUAGCGACCAAAGAUUUAUCGCCCGGAGAGGGGCCCAUGUGAUAUUAGGUAGUUGGUGAGGUAACGGCUCACCAAGCCGAAGAUGUCUAGCGGGUGUGAGAGCACGACCCGCGCCACUCGCACUGAGACACUGGCGAGACACCUACGGGUGGCUGCAGUCGAGGAUCUUCGUCAAUGGGGGCAACCCUGAACGAGCGACGCCGCGUGUGCGAUGAAGGCCUUCGGGUUGUAAAGCACUGUCGAGGGGGAGAAAAGCCGAAAGGUCUGAUCUAUCCCUGGAGGAAGCACGGGCUAAGUUCGUGCCAGCAGCCGCGGUAAGACGAACCGUGCGAACGCUGUUCGGAAUCACUGGGCUUAAAGGGAGCGUAGGCGGGCUGUCAAGUCUGGGGUGAAAUCCCGCGGCUCAACCGUGGAACUGCCUCAGAUACUGACGGCCUCGAGGAAGGUAGGGGCGUGCGGAACUGUGAGUGGAGCGGUGAAAUGCGUUGAUAUUCACAGGAACUCCGGUGGCGAAGGCGGCACGCUGGACCUUUUCUGACGCUGAGGCUCGAAAGCUAGGGGAGCAAACG
rnacentral:rRNA from 1 species